UCCAAAAUAGCUCAGUUGAGAAAGCAUUAGACUGAUGUUCUAAAGGUUCCAGGUUAGAUCCGGGUUUCGGCA